UUGCAGUUUUUAAGUGUUUUUAAGCUGUUUUGGAGUGUUUUAGUAUGUUUUGACAUAAAAAUCCAAAAAUCUCAUAAAAAUUUGAAAAAUUGUUUUGAAAAACCCAAAAAUAGUUGUUUUUAUGUGUUUGUUUGUGUCUUAGGGUACUUUCCAACACAAUGAUGAGGAUUUGGUUUUUAAUGACAUGACUGUUAAAGAGAGUUAUAAACAUGGAUGAAAAUUUGAUUUACUCUUUGGUGUAUGCUUGGUUGUGGUUAUAAUUUAUGAAUUCACAUGCAAUCAUAAAGAAAAAAAAUCAGUUUUUGUAACAUGCUUGAAGGAAGGAACUCAAAUGAACGCUACAACCUUGUGAGACUUGAGCCUAAACGUUUAUUUGGAGAGUUAAUAAUCUGUGCAGCAUUGUUUUCUAAAAUCGUUGCAUGAUCUCAUUAUUCUUUGCUUGGUUGCUACUUAGAAGGCGUUUCAUCAUUUAGUUCCAAAUGCU
rnacentral:lncRNA from 1 species